GACGAACGCUGGCGGCGUGCUUAACACAUGCAAGUCGAACGGAAAGGCCCUGCUUUUGUGGGGUGCUCGAGUGGCGAACGGGUGAGUAACACGUGAGUAACCUGCCCUUGACUUUGGGAUAACUUCAGGAAACUGGGGCUAAUACCGGAUAGGAGCUCCUGCUGCAUGGUGGGGGUUGGAAAGUUUCGGCGGUUGGGGAUGGACUCGCGGCUUAUCAGCUUGUUGGUGGGGUAGUGGCUUACCAAGGCUUUGACGGGUAGCCGGCCUGAGAGGGUGACCGGCCACAUUGGGACUGAGAUACGGCCCAGACUCCUACGCGAGGCAGCAGUGGGGAAUAUUGCACAAUGGGCGGAAGCCUGAUGCAGCAACGCCGCGUGCGGGAUGACGGCCUUCGGGUUGUAACCCGCUUUCGCCUGUGACGAAGCGUGAGUGACGGUAAUGGGGAAAGAAGCACCGGCUAACUACGU
rnacentral:rRNA from 1 species